CGCGAAUCGCCCUUCGGGGCGCACCAGGCGCGAAAACUUUGCAAUAAGCGAAAGCUUGACAGGGCUAUCCCGAGUGCCAUCCGCUGAGGAAGGCUUUUACCCAGUCUAGAACGCUGGGGGAAUAAGGAGAGGGCAAGUCUGGUGUCAGCCGCCGCGGUAAUACCAGCUCUCCGAGUGGUGUGGAUGUUUAUUGGGCCUAAAGAAUCCGUAGCUGGCUAAGUUAGUCCCUUGUUAAAUCCACCGAACUAAUCGUUGGAUUGCGGGGGAUACUGCUUGGCUAGGGGACGAGAGAGGCAGACGGUAUUUCCGGGGUAGGGGUGAAAUCCUAUAAUCCCGGGAAGACCACCAGUGGCGAAGGCUGUCUGCUAGAACGCGCCCGACGGUGAGGGAUGAAAGCUGGGGGAGCGAACCGGAUUAGAUACCCGGGUAGUCCCAGCUGUAAACGAUGCAGGCUAGGUGUUUGGACGGCCACGCGCCGUUCUAGUGCCGCAGGGAAGCUGUUAAGCCUGCCGCCUGGGGAGUACGAUCGCAAGAUUGAAACUUAAAGGAAUUGGCGGGGGAGCAC
rnacentral:rRNA from 1 species